AGCCAUGCGAGUUAACGUAGCAAUACGUGGCAUACGGCUCAGUAACACGUAGUCAACAUGCCCAGGGGACGUGGAUAACCUCGGGAAACUGAGGAUAAACCGCGAUAGGUCAUAAUAUCUGGAAUGAUGUAUGGCUUAAAUCUAUAUGGCCCCUGGAUUGGACUGCGGCCGAUCAGGCUGUUGGUGAGGUAAUGGCCCACCAAACCUAAAACCGGUACGGGCUCUGAGAGGAGAAGCCCGGAGAUGGGCACUGAGACAAGGGCCCGGGCCCUAUGGGGCGCAGCAGGCGCGAAAACUCUGCAAUAAGCGAAAGCUUGACAGGGUUAUUCUGAGUGAUUUCCGCUAAGGAAAUCUUUUGGCACCUCUAAAAAUGGUGCAGAAUAAGGGGUGGGCAAGCCUGGUGUCAGCCGCCGCGGUAAUACCAGCACCCCGAGUGGUCGGGACGAUUAUUGGGCCUAAAGCAUCCGUAGCCGGUUCUACAAGUCUUCCGUUAAAUCCACCUGCUUAACAGAUGGGCUGCGGAGGAUACUAUAGAGCUAGGAGGCGGGAGAGGCAAGCGGUACUUAGUGGGUAGGGGUAAAAUCCG
rnacentral:rRNA from 1 species